CCCAAAUUUACCAACUUCUGAUUCCGCUACCGGAUUUCAGAAGGCCGCUCUCACUCUCAUGGCUUCCAAACCAAAAGCCCCAGCUCCUCUAUAAUAUUGCAGGGCCAGCGUUGCAGAGCUCACCGAAAAGGGCGAGGACAUUAUCCACUCAAUCCUCCAUGAACGACGCCUUCUCCUUAAUAACCUCAACGACGAAAGAGUGGUGAAAGCAAGCCGUGAUAUCACAAUGAAAAGCAAAAAGGUCAUUUUUCAAGUACAUAGAUUUGAACCGUCCAGGUAUGCACAUGAAGUUGAUUAAGUUCCUUCUCAAAAUCAAGGCACCUUUAAUAGUUUAUGUAUCAUGUAAUCCUGCAACCCGUGCUUGCCAUCUUGAUUAUCUCUGCCACGGCGUGGUGGAGCAAGGCAUUAAAUGUUGUUACAAACUGAAGAGCUUACAGCCAGUAGAUAUGUUCCCCCACACUCAUAUUGAAUGUGUUUGCCUACUGGAACUCAUUCCUGAUUCCCAGAUGGGACCAUGAUUUUUUUUACUGAAAUUCAAGCCUUCUUUAUUCAUGGAUUCCAACCGGGAAAGAGAAGGAUUUCUAUUUAUGCUGUUUUUUCUGAAUCAAAUCUCAUAGCAGAGCAAGAUGAGGUGGUUUUGUGAGUUUUGUAGUUGCUACAGAAUGUAUACCAAAUGCGUCAUUAGUUAAAUCAAUAUUAAAAAAAAAAAGGUUUUGUUCAAAA